GCCGCGUUGGCGUAGUGGUAGCGCGUCUCACUCGUAUUUGGAACCCACCGGGGCAUUCUUGCGAUGAGAAGGUCACUCGUUCAAUCCGGGUACGCGGCA